UACAGAGGUCUCAAGCGUUGUUCGGAUUCCUUGGGCGUAAAGGGUGCGUAGGCGGCGAGGUAAGUCAGAUGUGAAAUCCCGGAGCUUAACUCCGGAACUGCAUUUGAUACUGCUUUGCUUGAGGACUGGAGAGGAGAUCGGAAUUCACGGUGUAGCAGUGAAAUGCGUAGAUAUCGUGAGGAAGGCCAGUGGCGAAGGCGGAUCUCUGGACAGUUCCUGACGCUGAGGCACGAAGGCCAGGGGAGCAAACGGG
rnacentral:rRNA from 1 species